rnacentral:siRNA from 1 species
CCGGUGAAGUGUUCGGAUCGC